AUCAUAUCAAAGAGUGUUUGAACACAAUGUGAGGACAUCUGUCCAAAAGUUGAAGGUGAACCAAAAGUGGACCUUGCAACAGGAUAAUGAUCCUAAGCACACUAGCAAAUCCACCAAGGAAUGGCUCAAAAAGAAUAAAUGGAAGGUUGGAAAAGAAAUUGAAUGGAUUAGACAAAGCCCGGAUUUGAAUUCCAUUGAAACAUUGUGGGGGAUCUGAAAUGGGCAGUAUAUUCAAGAAAACCCUCAAACAUCUUGCCAUGAAAAUGAAAGUGCUGCCCAGAUCCAUUAAUGGGACCAAGACCUGGGGUUGCAUAUCAUGACUUACAAAUGAUGAUCUUAAAGAAGGGUUUUUAGGUUUAAACCCUCAAAUCUACAGUGCGACAGCAAACGUCAUCCAUCUUCUGAACAAACAAGUAAUUAGAGUACUGUUUGUUUUGAAGCUAGCACCAGAACUUGAGUAUUCCUGUGACAUUUUCAUCAGGCCCCCCUGAUCUGAUUUAAUUCCUGCCCUGAUGUAGUUGAGCAAUGUUUUAGGUUGUAAAGCAUCCUGUUGCCAGCCACUUCCCUUUUAAGUAUGCUCUAUGACAGUGGUCACCAGCCCUGUUCAUGGAGAUCUACCUUCCUGAAGACUUUAGCUCCAACCAUAAUCAUGCCCAGCUGAUCAUCUAAUUAUUGCAUUAAAAAGUUUUUGAUCAACUAAAUCAGGUGUGUUCGAUUUUGGUUGGAGAUUAAACCUGCAGCAAGAUACUGUAGAUCUCAAGGAAGACUGUUUGUGACCAGUGGUCUGUGGGAACCUCAAGUGGCAGGAGGGAUGUUGUUCUCUGCCUGCCCCAUGAGACAAACUUAUAGCCAGUACAUGCCAUGUCUGAUGCAAUAUCACUCAAGUUAUCACUCAAGUAUCAAGUUCACUCACUCACUGGAAUGUCAUUCCUGUAUCUGUAUAUUCAGAGCUUUAGUAGUGCUUCAUGUGGAAAGACCACCAGCCAUGCAACACAAUCAUCAGCUUGCAGGCAUGUGGCCCAGCCUGACCUGCUUGUGAUUCCUCAACAUUCAUAAUCCUUACACUGAGUCAUAGAGAAUUCUUUUGCAACUAGCUCUGUAUGAGAAAGAGCAUUCAGUGGUGUGGCUUGUGUAGCAUUACACAAGAAUGGUUCCCAUGGUUAGUUUAGGGCAAUGGCCGUGGAGUCUGGGAGCAUGCUGAGGCUGAUUCAGAUCCAUUUUUGCCCACUGCUGAGGCUAGUAAUAAGAAUGGUGGUUUGACUACUGGGUCAGUAUCAGCAUGGAAGAAUCCGGAAGGUUCAAUGAGGAACUUGGAAAAUGAGCUCCCAGGAGCGGCAUGGACCGUCGUCAUCAUCAUCAUCAAUGUUAUCCUCCUCCUCAGCUGGACACUUGAGCUGUCAAUCCAAAUCUCACUAACCAAUGAGACUGUUAAACCCCACCCACAGGUACAAUUGGUGCCAGAAUGGCGAAUGUUAACUUGCUUAAAUGAAAACUCACUGUUUUCAGUUUCAGUGUUCUUUUCUUCUCUCUCAAUGUAUAUAUUUGUUCUUUUCUUGCAAAGAUAUGUUCAAUACCUUCAGCACAAAUUUAAUUCCAUACAAUAAGAGCACAUUGAGAAUAAAUGUUCUUGGGUGAGCACAGGAAAAUCUUGAUUACAAAAGCAGUUCUCUGAUACAAAUCUACAGUAUCCAGGUGAGAUUAUCUGCUAAAGCAAAGGUGAGUUCAAAGUGCAAAUUUUUAAGGUAUCCAUGCGGGACCACCCACAGCAGCAGAAGGUGAGUCACAAGACCAUCUAAAGACCUCACUGGCCUGGUCAAAACAUGUCUGAGCUUCAAUCCAGCACAUCUUUUCUCUCCCUCUGCUGGGAUUUUGCCAGUUAGCUAGUUCUUAGCUAUUUGCUAGAAAUUGCACUGUCUGUCCAGACAAGGCCUGGAGCUACAGAGCAGCAGAGACAUGAGCAGCAGAGACCUCAGCAGAACACUACAUGUCCUGCCUAGCCCAAAGCUGCCUCAUCUCUUCAUCUUUUAUCUGCUGGCUGCCUGCCCUGCAUCGGCCAUAUUUACUACACAUGAUAGAAAGAGAGAGAGCAAGACAAGAGGUGCAAAAACUUGUUCAAAUUCUAUUCUGUCCUAAUUUUCCUCAUGCAGUGUAAAUAUGACAAAUAUAACAAAUACUUAUUAAAAACUAUACUUCAGUAAAAGAACAAAGACAAAUGUUAACACAGUGAGCACUAUAUGGGCUACUCUGUAGAUGCUUGUCUUAACAUGUAUGCCCACACACACAUACACACUUCUCUCUAUGCCUUAACCUACCUAACAGGAAUUAUGAUCAUAAUCAGCCCACACACCAGUACCAGAACCAAGACAACUGAACUAAUCCUGGAGCCACACCUCAGUCACCCCGACACACACACAGACACACACACACACAGAAUCAGACACAGCCAGCAGUGCCUCUCUUUGAAAGGCUUUCUGAGAUAAGCAAAAUCUGUAUUUGAUCCGUCACCAGGAUCUGAGGUUGGAGAGAGCGUUUGAAGUGAUAUCUCUGUCAUUGCUUUCCACAUAAUACUAUUACCACUAGAAACCCUACUGUCUUUUCCUGAUGGAUUCUCAAGCAUUGAAGCCGAG
ensembl:lncRNA